rnacentral:rRNA from 1 species
GACAGAGGGGGCAAGCGUUGCUCGGAAUCACUGGGCGUAAAGGGCGCGUAGGCGGGCUGGCAAGUCGGUCGUGAAAUCUCUCGGCUCAACCGAGAAACGUCGGCCGAUACUGCCGUUCUUGAGGGAUGCAGAGGAGACUGGAAUUCCCGGUGUAGCGGUGAAAUGUGUAGAGAUCGGGAGGAACACCGGUGGCGAAGGCGGGUCUCUGGGCAUUUCCUGACGCUGAGGCGCGAAAGCGUGGGGAGCAAACGGG